rnacentral:tRNA from 1 species
GCGGGCGUGGUGGAACUGGUAGACACAACGGAUUUAGGUUCCGUCGGCGCAAGCCAUGGGGGUUCAAGUCCCUCCGCCCGCACCA